rnacentral:rRNA from 1 species
AGAGUUUGAUCCUGGCUCAGAUUGAACGCUGGCGACAUGCCUUACACAUGCAAGUCGAACGGCAGCACGGGGGCAACCCUGGUGGCGAGUGGCGAACGGGUGAGUAACAUAUCGGAACGUGCCCUGGAGUGGGGGGAUAACUAGUCGAAAGACUAGCUAAUACCGCAUACGAUCUACGGAUGAAAGUGGGGGACCGCAAGGCCUCAUGCUCGUGGAGCGGCCGAUAUCUGAUUAGCUAGUUGGUGGGGUAAAGGCCUACCAAGGCAUCGAUCAGUAGCUGGUCUGAGAGGACGACCAGCCACACUGGGACUGAGACACGGCCCAGACUCCUACGGGAGGCAGCAGUGGGGAAUUUUGGACAAUGGGCGCAAGCCUGAUCCAGCAAUGCCGCGUGAGUGAAGAAGGCCUUCGGGUUGUAAAGCUCUUUUGUCAGGGAAGAAACGGUUCUGGCUAAUACCCGGAGCUAAUGACGGUACCUGAAGAAUAAGCACCGGCUAACUACGUGCCAGCAGCCGCGGUAAUACGUAGGGUGCAAGCGUUAAUCGGAAUUACUGGGCGUAAAGCGUGCGCAGGCGGUUGUGCAAGACCGAUGUGAAAUCCCCGGGCUCAACCUGGGAAUGGCAUUGGUGACUGCACGGCUAGAGUGUGUCAGAGGGGGGUAGAAUUCCACGUGUAGCAGUGAAAUGCGUAGAGAUGUGGAGGAAUACCGAUGGCGAAGGCAGCCCCCUGGGAUAACACUGACGCUCAUGCACGAAAGCGUGGGGAGCAAACAGGAUUAGAUACCCUAGUAGUCC